AGUGAACGCUGGCGGUAGGCCUAACACAUGCAAGUCGAACGGCAGCACAGUAAGAGCUUGCUCUUACGGGUGGCGAGUGGCGGACGGGUGAGGAAUACAUCGGAAUCUACUUUUUCGUGGGGGAUAACGUAGGGAAACUUACGCUAAUACCGCAUACGACCUACGGGUGAAAGCAGGGGAUCUUCGGACCUUGCGCGAUUGAAUGAGCCGAUGUCGGAUUAGCUAGUUGGCGGGGUAAAGGCCCACCAAGGCGACGAUCCGUAGCUGGUCUGAGAGGAUGAUCAGCCACACUGGAACUGAGACACGGUCCAGACUCCUACGGGAGGCAGCAGUGGGGAAUAUUGGACAAUGGGCGCAAGCCUGAUCCAGACAUACCGCGUGGGUGAAGAAGGCCUUCGGGUUGUAAAGCCCUUUUGUUGGGAAAGAAAAGCAGCAGGUUAAGACCCCGCUGUUCUGACGGUACCCAAAGAAUAAGCACCGGCUAACUUCGU
rnacentral:rRNA from 1 species